rnacentral:rRNA from 5 species
UAGCAUGAAAUCAGACAAGUGA